AAAGGAAAAGUCCAACGACCCAGCAGCAUUAACCACCUCCGUACAACCAAAAUCCUUUUCUUUCCUCUUCUCAAACCCACAUUUUUGUUCUAAAAAAAGAAAGAACGGUGAAAAACCCAGAGUUUUCCCCCAUUCCUUUCAAACAAAAAAUUCAAUACUACCCUUUUAUCAUUCUGAUUCCCGCAAACUCAGACCAAUAAUUAAAUCCCAAUACAGUUGUCAUGCAGCUCUGGAGGUGAUAUCCUUAUCAUGCACAAAUAUUUUUACACUCUAGACGAUGAAAUAUGGAACAGGAAAAUAAAAUGAGUGAGCAUUCCAUGCAUGGGAUUAAUGGUGACGGGUUUAAAGCACAGAGCUCUGAUUUUUUUAGAAGGCACAACUCUGAAACACAUCUUGCUCCAAGUAAAUUAAAAGAUGGAAAUUUUGAUUUUCAAAGUCCAGAGGCUAAGGAAACUCAUUUGCGAGUUAGUGCUCAAAAAGAGGAGAUUCGACGGCUUCGUGAACAAAUUGCUGUUGCAUGUGUGAAGGAAUUACAGCUCCUGAAUGAGAAAUGUGCAUUGGAGAGGAAAUUCUCUGACUUGCGGAUGGCAAUUCAUGAAAAGCAAAACGAAUCCAUCACUUCUGCCUCAAAUGAAUUGGCUCGCAGAAAAGCUGAUCUUGAAGAGAAUUUAAAGUUGACCCAUGAUUUAAAGGCUGCGGAGGAUGAGAGAUACAUCUUCAUGUCAUCCUUGCUUGGGCUGUUGGCUGAACAUGGUCUUUGGCCCCAUGUUGUAAAUGCAUCUGCCAUUACCAGCAGUGUGAAGCAUCUACAUGAUCAGUUAGAAUGGAAGAUCAGAACUUCACAUGAUAGAAUUAGAGAGUUGACAGGUGUUCUGGGAACUCAUGCUGGAGGCGGAUCUCAUGAAAAAGAUAGGCCAAAUUCUGGAAUUUUGAAAAAUCAAAAUCCUCAUAGAUCCACGACUAGUCAUGCUACUAAUCACCAUAUGGAUGAGCAACAUCAUAUGCCACCUGAGACUAUGAUGAGAUACAUGCAUGAUAGUGAUCACACUGUGAAAAAUUUAGGGUUCAAUGAUCUGGGGCAACAACGAUUGAGCAAUGGCAAUUCGCAGGAGUUCUUGUUCCAUUCUGAUAGAGGCGGUGCUGGCCCUAAUCCUGAUAGGGCAUUUGACAAAGGUUUUGUAAGAGUUGGGCCUGAGGAUAUGACCAAUGAUGCCUUGUAUCAGCCUGAUGAGAUGGCCUCCCAAGGUUCUGAAGAUUGGCCUGGAAUUGAGGGGUUUCAGAUAAUUGGUGAUGCUACGCCAGGAGAAAAGCUUCUAGGAUGCGGAUUUCCUGUACGAGGAACUACACUUUGUAUGUUUCAGUGGGUACGUCAUCUUCAGGAUGGCACCAGGCAGUAUAUUGAGGGAGCUACAAAUCCAGAAUACGUUGUCACAGCUGACGAUGUUGAUAAACUGAUUGCUGUUGAAUGCAUACCAAUGGAUGACCAAGGCCGUCAGGGGGAACUAGUGAGGCUUUUUGCUAAUGAUCAGAACAAAAUAAAAUGUGACCCAGAAAUGCAAAAUGAGAUCGACUUGUUCAUUUCCAGUGGCCAAGCUAUAUUUACAGUCCUAUUGCUGAUGGAUUCUUCUGAGAAUUGGGAGCCAGCAACACUGACUUUGAGACGGUCAAGUUACCAAAUUAAGAUCAAUAGCACAGAAGCUGUGGAAAUUUCGGAGAAAUAUUCAAAAGAAUUAUCGAUUAAAGUACCAAGUGGGCUCUCUACACAAUUUGUUUUGACAUGUUCCGAUGGGUCUUCACGUCCCUUUAGCACAUAUAAUGUUCGAAUGCGGGAUACACUUGUUUUGACCAUGAGAAUGUUCCAGAGCAAGGGGAGCCCAUACGGUAUCAUUUUGAACAAAUGACGUCUCUUAUCCAUUUUUGUCAAUAAAUUCAAGUUCUGUUUCAAGUACGUUAAUAGGCCUUGGAUGACAAGAGAAAAGGAAGAGCAUAGGCACUACUUAGUUUGAGUAUAGCUUUAGCCCUAUAGUAAUUAUUCUUUUUUUUUUUCCUUAAAUAGAAUUUGGGAGGAAAAUAAACACGUCAAUGUUUGUAUCCUAGUUUGAAACAAUAAUGAAAGAACAGUUCUGUUCUUAUGUUGUAUUUUAGAUUUCAUUGUUUAGUCCACUUCUAGGAAUAUCUAUCAUUAGAUCAGCAUAUUGUCAAACUAGUUAAGCUGCGAGGCAAAAAGCAGGGCUCGGAGCUAGAAGAAGGUGUAAAACAAGUAAUUGAAGCGGCUGCUUUUGAACCAGGUUGCUGAAUUUCCUCAAUUUGUAAGUGUUCCUAAACAAUCUUAACUAUAUGUCAUUGGAAGGCAAAUGCUGUGGCUCCAUCCAGAAAGGGUGUCGGAUUCGAUUGGCUUUUUAUGCUUUGGUUUGUAAGUAAUAGCAUAUAAAUUCACUGUUUCUUAAGAUUUUGAUUCCAAGCAUUUUGGGAUUGAUACUAUUGAGAUAUUUUAAGUGGAAGUUUUGAGUUUGCAGAUCACUCCAAUUGUCAAAGAAUCCUCAUUUAUGUGGAUUCAAUAUAUUGGAGAAUUUGAGCUUAUGAAAACUACACCAAGCUAUCAAAAUAUGCAAAAAAAGGAUUGUAUAAAACGGGUUACAAAUACACAGUUUCUGUUGA